rnacentral:rRNA from 1 species
AUACGGAGGGGGUUAGCGUUGUUCGGAAUUACUGGGCGUAAAGCGCACGUAGGCGGACUGGAAAGUUGGGGGUGAAAUCCCGGGGCUCAACCCCGGAACUGCCUCCAAAACUUCCAAUCUAGAGAUCGAGAGAGGUGAGUGGAAUUCCAAGUGUAGAGGUGAAAUUCGUAGAUAUUUGGAGGAACACCAGUGGCGAAGGCGGCUCACUGGCUCGGUACUGACGCUGAGGUGCGAAAGCGUGGGGAGCAAACAGGAUUAGAUACCCGAGUAGUCC